rnacentral:misc_RNA from 1 species
AAGUCGUAACAAGGUUUCCGUAGGUGAACCUGCGGAAGGAUCAUUAGUGAAUUAAACAUGCUUGGUGUCUUCGCUUCGGCAAGGCCCUUGCUUAAAUCACAUCCUAACACCUGUGAACUGUAAGACGUAUGAUGAGGUCUUUGGCCAAGUCAUCGUCUGCCCAUUUUUAACAAACAAUUAAUGUAACAAACGUAGUCUUAUUAUAACCUAAUAAAACUUUCAACAACGGAUGUCUUGGCUCUC